rnacentral:rRNA from 1 species
UACGUAGGGGGCGAGCGUUGUCCGGAUUUAUUGGGCGUAAAGAGCGUGUAGGCGGCCAGGUAGGUCUGCUGUGAAAACUCGAGGCUCAACCUCGAGACGUCGGCGGAAACCAUCUGGCUAGAGUCCGGAAGAGGAGAGUGGAAUUCCCGGUGUAGCGGUGAAAUGCGCAGAUAUCGGGAAGAACACCCGUGGCGAAGGCGGCUCUCUGGGACGGUACUGACGCUGAGACGCGAAAGCGUGGGGAGCGAACAGG